GGAUCUGGAUGGGUGGGUCUUGAGAAGGGGCCUUGCGGGCCCCGGUCAGGGGCGUGGUUCGGGCAGCCCCGGUUCAGGCUCCGGUUGGGGCCG
rnacentral:tRNA from 1 species